AUGCAAACAGGACGUUCGAGGGCUCAGCAACCCGGAGGCCGUGACAACCACAGCUCCUGUUCAAAGGUCUGUGCUAACAGAGAUUCUUCAAUUUUUUUUUUAAUGGAAAGCUUCAAUGAAGCUAGUGAAGUCAAUGAUGAACUGUACAGAUCAGGAGACCAAAGAUUUGUAAGGCUUCCUCUUGGACAACAUGGUGGAUACAGGACGCAUGGAGCCGGGAAGGGUUCAUCCGGGGACGGCAGUGUCCAACUUACCUGUACUUCCGUGCCUCACCCACAGGGUGCAGGUUCCCGUUUCCUCAGACCUAACCUGGACUUCUCCACCAAGAAACUCUGUGAACGUGAAGUCGUCGACGUUUUUCUAAAGGGGAUUACUUUUAAAUUCUCUCUCCCUCUAACACGCAGUGAGAUUUUGGCAGCUAGAAAAGACUCAUUCCCUAGCUAUCACCAUGGGUGAUUUUCCCAAACUACUGCUUUGGGCCAGGGGCCAUCACCCAGUCUACAGCCCCUGUGAGCACAGAGGAGGCCUCAGGCAAUCCUGCCUGAAGCACCUCUGGGUUUUGGCAUUAAAUUCAUGCUUGAAUUUGAGUAAAGAGCUUUUCUGUUUUCCUUAGGAGCAGCCAGCAAUCAUCUAAGCUAGGGAGAAAGGAUCCAUUCACCCCAUCUGCCCCAUACUGCUUUCUGUAUCUGGGAUGGGUCACUGCCUUAGCAAGCAGGCGACUUUGCCUGAAGAUUAAAACCCUGUGCUCCGAGUCUUAGGGAGCUCCUGUGUCUGAGGGGGAACUCAUUCAUACCCCUUAAUGCAGACAUCCAGGAUGCUCGCGCUAAGGGUUUAUUAAAGCUUAAUGCAAUCACAGUCUUUCUGGCUCUAUGUGAUCUCCCUCCAUUAGUAGCUUGCUGCCUGCAUCUUGCCCACAGCCAAGUGUGUCAACCCAACGAAUCAGGGAAGCAAUGCUCUGACUUGAGCAAUUAAAUCAGAGCAGACACUUGAGAGUGAAAGCCGAGGCAAAC
rnacentral:lncRNA from 1 species